rnacentral:rRNA from 1 species
AACGAACGCUGGCGGCAGGCCUAACACAUGCAAGUCGAGCGAGGACUUCGGUUCUAGCGGCGGACGGGUGAGUAACGCGUGGGAAUGUGCCCUUCUCUACGGAAUAGCCCUGGGAAACUGGGAGUAAUACCGUAUACGCCCUAUUGGGGAAAGAUUUAUCGGAGAAGGAUCAGCCCGCGUUGGAUUAGGUAGUUGGUGGGGUAAUGGCCUACCAAGCCGACGAUCCAUAGCUGGUUUGAGAGGAUGAUCAGCCGCACUGGGACUGAGACACGGCCCAGACUCCUACGGGAGGCAGCAGUGGGGAAUCUUAGACAAUGGGGGCAACCCUGAUCGAGCCAUGCCGCGUGAGUGAUGAAGGCCUUAGGGUUGUAAAGCUCUUUCAGCUGGGAAGAUAAUGACGGUACCAGCAGAAGAAGCCCCGGCUAACUCCGUG